rnacentral:tRNA from 1 species
GGGCGUGGCCAAGUGGUAAGGCAACGGGUUUUGGUCCCGCUAUUCGGAGGUUCGAAUCCUUCCGUCCCA